GGGCAUCAGUUUGGUUUGUUGCAAACCAAAGCUGGCGACCGGCGCACGGGUGAGUAACACGUAUCCAACCUACCUCAUACUCGGGGAUAGCCUUUCGAAAGAAAGAUUAAUAUCCGAUAGCAUAUAUUUCCCGCAUGGGUUUUAUAUUAAAGAAAUUCGGUAUGAGAUGGGGAUGCGUUCCAUUAGUUUGUUGGGGGGGUAACGGCCCACCAAGACUACGAUGGAUAGGGGUUCUGAGAGGAAGGUCCCCCACAUUGGAACUGAGACACGGUCCAAACUCCUACGGGAGGCAGCAGUGAGGAAUAUUGGUCAAUGGACGCGAGUCUGAACCAGCCAAGUAGCGUGAAGGAUGACUGCCCUAUGGGUUGUAAACUUCUUUUAUAUGGGAAUAAAGUGGUCCACGUGUGGACUUUUGUAUGUACCAUAUGAAUAAGGAUCGGCUAACUCCGUGCCAGCAGCCGCGGUAAUACGGAGGAUCCGAGCGUUAUCCGGAUUUAUUGGGUUUAAAGGGAGCGUAGGCGGAUUGUUAAGUCAGUUGUGAAAGUUUGCGGCUCAACCGUAAAAUUGCAGUUGAUACUGGCAGUCUUGAGUGCAGUAGAGGUGGGCGGAAUUCGUGGUGUAGCGGUGAAAUGCUUAGAUAUCACGAAGAACUCCGAUUGCGAAGGCAGCUCACUGGAGUGUAACUGACGCUGA
rnacentral:rRNA from 1 species